rnacentral:rRNA from 1 species
UACGUAGGGUGCGAGCGUUGUCCGGAAUUACUGGGCGUAAAGAGCUCGUAGGUGGUUUGUCGCGUUGUUCGUGAAAUCUCACGGCUUAAACUGUGAGCGUGCGGGCGAUACGGGCAGACUGGAGUACUGCAGGGGAGACUGGAAUUCCUGGUGUAGCGGUGGAAUGCGCAGAUAUCAGGAGGAACACCGGUGGCGAAGGCGGGUCUCUGGGCAGUAACUGACGCUGAGGAGCGAAAGCGUGGGGAGCGAACAGG